AUUGAACGCUGGCGGCAGGCCUAACACAUGCAAGUCGAACGAGUGGCGGACGGGUGAGUAAUGUCUGGGAAACUGCCUGAUGGAGGGGGAUAACUACUGGAAACGGUAGCUAAUACCGCAUACCAUCGGAUGUGCCCAGAUGGGAUUAGCUAGUAGGUGGGGUAACGGCUCACCUAGGCGACGAUCCCUAGCUGGUCUGAGAGGAUGACCAGCCACACCGGAACUGAGACAGGGUCUAGACUCCUACGGGAGGUAGCAGUGGGGAAUCUUGCACAAUGGGAGCAAGCCUGAUGCAGCCAUGCCGCGUGUAUGAAGAAGGCCUUCGGGGUUUAAAGUACUGUCCGCGGGGAGGCGUUCUCCGCAUAAGAAGCACCGGCUAACUCCGUGCCAGCAGCCGCGGUAAUAC
rnacentral:rRNA from 1 species